rnacentral:lncRNA from 10 species
GCCAUCUUGGAAGCAGCCACCACCAUCUUGGGAGCUCUGGGAGCAAGGACCCCUGUAACACAUUCAUCCUUGAAUGACAAAAUGUCUGGUCCAGCAUGGUAUUAUAACAUAAACAUGAAGAGGAAGAGACAUGAGAGAUACGCACAGUGAAGAGACCAAGCUGGGACACAGUACGAAGGUGGCAUCUGCACGCCAAGCAGAGGGACCUCAGAAGAAACUGAGCCAGCCAGCACCCCACCUUCGUCUUUGACCUCCAGCCUCCAGAACUAUGAGAUAUACCUUUCUGUUGUUUAAUCCAUCCAGGCUGUGUCAUUUUGUUAUUGCAGCCUGAGAGACCAUUACAGAAUGUGUAGUUGGAUCACUUACAAGGAUAGAGGAUCUGGGUAUCGUACAGUUUACAGAAUGUAUGGACCGCUGUGUUCCUAUUGAUAAUAUGUAUUAAUUAUCAAAUACUCAUGUGUAUGGCAGAAUUUGUCCUGAGGCUUU